rnacentral:rRNA from 1 species
UGACUCUGGCCUCAAAUCAGGUAGGACUACCCGCUGAACUUAAGCAUAUCAAUAAGCGGAGGAAAAGAAACUAACAAGGAUUCCCUUAGUAACGGCGAGUGAACCGGGAAGAGCUCAAAUUUGAAAUCUGGCUGUCUUCGAUAGUCCGAGUUGUAAUCUAUAGAAGCGUUUUCCGUGCUGAACUGUGUCUAAGUCCCUUGGAACAGGGUAUCAAAGAGGGUGACAAUCCCGUACUUGACACAAUCAUCAGUGCUCUGUGAUACGCUCUCUACGAGUCGAGUUGUUUGGGAAUGCAGCUCAAAAUGGGUGGUAAAUUCCAUCUAAAGCUAAAUAUUGGCGAGAGACCGAUAGCGAACAAGUACCGUGAGGGAAAGAUGAAAAGCACUUUGGAAAGAGAGUUAAACAGUACGUGAAAUUGUUGAAAGGGAAACGAUUGAAGUCAGUCGUGUUCAUUGGAUUCAGCCGGUCUUCGGUGUACUUCCUUUGAACGGGUCAACAUCAGUUUUGCCCGGUGGAUAAAGGCAGUAGGAAUGUGGCCUCUCCGGAGGUGUUAUAGCCUAUUGUCACAUACACUGGGGGAGACUGAGGACUGCAGCUCGCCUUUUGGCCGGGGUUCGCCCACGUUCGAGCUUAGGAUGUUGACAUAAUGGCUUUAAACGACCCGUCUUGAA